ACCAAAGACAUCACUCCUUCUUCAGCUUGCUUCAAGAGUUCUAGCCCUAGAACUUGACUAGCUACAUACCGAUCAGGUUUCUUCAUGAACCUGACCCCACCCUCUUAGAACCUCCUCUGAACUUCUGAUUCUCCUUCUUUAGAACCCUCACAACCCUUGUUAGGAUUAGAUAAGGCUUUGUCUUAAAUUCCAAAAUCUUGUCCUAAAACUAUGGUAGGUUGUAAGAAAGAAGGGAGAGCAACCGGAGAGAAAUUGAAAACCCGAUUUGAAUGCAUCAGACACCCAAUGCCCAGGCCAAUUUCUAGCCACCAUAGGGAUGCCAAA
rnacentral:lncRNA from 1 species